rnacentral:rRNA from 1 species
AGUGAACGCUGGCGGUAGGCCUAACACAUGCAAGUCGAACGGCAGCACAGUAAGAGCUUGCUCUUACGGGUGGCGAGUGGCGGACGGGUGAGGAAUACAUCGGAAUCUACUUUUUCGUGGGGGAUAACGUAGGGAAACUUACGCUAAUACCACAUCCGACCUACGGGUGAAAGCAGGGGAUCUUCGGACCUUGCGCGAUUGAAUGAGCCGAUGUCGGAUUAGCUAGUUGGCGGGGUAACGGCCCACCAAGGCGACGAUCCGUAGCUGGUCUGAGAGGAUGAUCAGCCACACUGGAACUGAGACACGGUCCAGACUCCUACGGGAGGCAGCAGUGGGGAAUAUUGGACAAUGGGCGCAAGCCUGAUCCAGCCAUACCGCGUGGGUGAAGAAGGCCUUCGGGUUGUAAAGCCCUUUUGUUGGGAAAGAAAAGCAGCAGGUUAAUACCCCGCUGUUCUGACGGUACCCAAAGAAUAAGCACCGGCUAACUUCGUG